UACAGAGGGCUCAAGCGUUGUUCGGAUUCAUUGGGCGUAAAGGGUGCGUAGGCGGCUCGGUAAGUCGGGUGUGAAAUCUCGGAGCUUAACUCCGAAACUGCAUUCGAUACUGCCGUGCUUGAGGACUGGAGAGGAGACUGGAAUUUACGGUGUAGCGGUGAAAUGCGUAGAUAUCGUAAGGAAGACCAGUGGCGAAGGCGGGUAUCUGGACAGUUCCUGACGCUGAGGCACGAAGGUCAGGGGAGCAAACGGG
rnacentral:rRNA from 1 species